rnacentral:rRNA from 1 species
AUACGGAGGGUGCAAGCGUUAUCCGGAAUUAUUGGGCGUAAAGGGUGCGUAGGCGGCCUUUUAAGUCAGAUGUGAAAGGCUACGGCUUAACCGUAGUUAGCAUUUGAAACUAAAAGGCUUGAGCGCAGGAGAGGAGAGUGGAAUUCCUAGUGUAGCGGUGAAAUGCGUAGAUAUUAGGAGGAACACCAGUGGCGAAGGCGACUCUCUGGACUGCAACUGACGCUGAGGCACGAAAGCGUGGGGAGCGAACAGGAUUAGAUACCCUGGUAGUCCACGCCGUAAACGAUGAGUGCUAGAUGUUGGUGGGGACACCCAUCAGUGCCGCAGCUAACGCAUUAAGCACUCCGCCUGGGGAGUACGGUCGCAAGACUGAA